UACGGAGGGGACUAGCGUUGUUCGGAAUUACUGGGCGUAAAGAGCUCGUAGGCGGUUCGUCGCGUCGGCUGUGAAAUCCCGAGGCUCAACCUCGGGUCUGCAGUCGAUACGGGCGGACUGGAGUUCGGCAGGGGAGACUGGAAUUCCUGGUGUAGCGGUGAAAUGCGCAGAUAUCAGGAGGAACACCGGUGGCGAAGGCGGGUCUCUGGACCGAUACUGACGCUGAGGAGCGAAAGCGUG
rnacentral:rRNA from 1 species